CGGCCAAUAAGGAGCAAACUGAUUUUGUUUGUGUCGAGUGUGGGCAAAAAUCUGAAGAGAUAUACAAAGAAUUUAGAGGAGGAAGCUUUAAACUUUGCAUCUGUAAAUUUUGCAAGAAAAGAGUUGAUAAAUAUGUGGAAUUUGAUACUGUCAUUGUUUUUCUGGAUAUCAUUCUCCAUAAGAUUCAAGCAUACCGUCACCUGGUUUUCAAUAAACCUCCAAAGGGGACAUGUCGCAGAGCUAUGCUAAUGGUUGAAACAGAAAUUAAUGUAUUGUAAAGUUCAGCCAAUGAAAAGAGAGACCGAGAGAGAAGGGCCGAGAGA
rnacentral:misc_RNA from 1 species